CUUGCCUGCCGCUAUGCAAGGCGUGACUUUGCUCCUCCUUUGCCUUCUGACAUGAUUGUGAGGCCUCCCCAGCCAUGUGGAACUGAUUAAAAAAACCCACGCUGCUGAUAUCCUUGUCAGCCUUUUCCUGAAUCAUUGCUGUGCAGCUCCAGGGAGCCACGGGCCGGUGCCUUCUGACCGGCAGACUCCGUCCAUGGGCCUUCCUGUCCUUGGGGUCCUGGAGCUCUCUGUCUGAGCCUCCUUGGCCACUGAAGCAACACCCAGAGGCCUGCAUCCUCUAAGAAAUGCCAGCCAGGGUUGCAGAUGGAGCCAAGAAUUGAAAAUCUGGCCGAGUCUUUCCAUCUCACAGAUGAGCAAGCUGAACCUCAGAGGGCUUAGUGAUGUGGUUGAGGCACAGCCACCAAGGAUCAAUGACUGAGCCUCAAAACCACCUCUUCUGAGAGUACUGCUUUCUUACCCGAGGAUGGCCCAUCAGGGUGAUCUGGAAGGCAGAAGACGGGAGUUUUUCUGUGAACUCACUGUGGUGGGGGUGGUCCUUGGAAAAGUACUGAGUACACAGAAGUGGCGACGGGCAAAUGGAGAUCCUGGAAAAGGAGGUUUUCUACCAAAAUAUCCUUGUGAACAUGAGGACAGCUUCCAAACUGAGAAAGAGUGGGCUCGAGAAAGCUCUAAUGCUUCUUUCCCUGACACGAAGUGCUUCGUGCAGUGUUUGGCAUCAACAUGUCGGAGCCGUGGCAACGUUCUCCGUGCAUCCCCGCUUGGGCGUCAUUUUAAAGGGCCCACCUUGUGUACGAGAUGCACUUUGAUUUACUGACUUGCUUACGGAGAAAGGAGUCGUGGAAAUGUACCUGGCUGUGGGAUGUAUGAAUAUGGACUGAAGGUCAAACUCAGACCAGAGGCAGGACCCAGGAUCAGAGGCCAGGCUGAUGCCAAGGGUAAAGGACAGGAUGAGAGGACUCUGCAAAAUUGUUCUCCUUUGGCCGGUACCCCUGCCUUGGUUUCUCUCCAGCCCCACACAGUCAGGGAAGAGAAAAGGGAAAAGAGAAGUUUGACUGCCACUGAUAAGAAGGCACAUUAAACACUGUCCUCAUAAUCAAAUUAUUGGCAGGGACUUGACACUUGGUAAAGGUUCAGCUGUGAACUGAACAGUCACUAAUCCUGUGGCAGCUGAAAAUCCUGACCCAGAGAACAGGUGGAGAAGCACCGUACUGACACCAGAAUCCCCAGGAUGCUAUUCAGUUGACACAGAGACCACACGCUUCAUAGUAUUCAGAGCACUGGACUUGGGACCAGAAGUUCCAGCUCAUCACUGCUGUAUAACUGUAAAGAAAUCAUUUAGCCUCUCGAGCCUCAUUCUUUGUGUGAGAUGGAGAUAAUCCUACUCAUCUCAUAGGGCAGUUGUGAGGACUGAAUGAGUUUAAAUGCAAAAUGCUCUUAAGACACUGUGAUAUAUCUGCAUCCACCCACUUAUCUCCCUGCUUACCUAUCUCUGUAAAAUAGGGAUAAUAAUAGUUACUACUUCACAGAGUUGUAAGAGUUGAGUGAAAAGGUGAAUGAUGGAGGCUGAGGUGGGCGGACCAUCUGAGGUCAGGAGUUGGAGACCAGCCUGGCCAACAUGGUGAAACCCCGUCUCUACUAAAAAUACAAAAAUUAGCUGAAUGUGGUGGUGUGUGCCUUUAAUCUCAGCUACUUGGGAGGCUGAGGCAGGAGAAUCGAUUGAACCCAGGAGGUGGAGGUUGCAGUGAGCCGAGAUUACGCCACUGCACUCCAGGCUCCAGCCUGGGCAACAGAGUGAGACUCCAUCUCAAAAAAUAAAAUAAAACAAACCAACAACAACAACAAAAACAACAAAACAAAAAGGUGAAUGACAAAAGGCUUUGCAACUCCCUGUACAAAUGAGAGUGACUAUUAUCAAAUAUCCCAUCUGUGUUGGAAGCAAUACUGCCCAGUGGUUAUCUAAUGCAGGCUUGUCCAUCAGAAAUAGAAUGUGAGGCACAUGUGUAAUUUAAAAUUAUUUAUUGGUCACAUUAGAACACAGUAAAAAAAAACAGUGAAAUAGUUUUAAUAAUAAUUUCCUACCCCUAAGUGUGUGUGUGUGCUCGCGUGCACAUUUCUGCAUGUAUUGGGGUGUUGUCCCUGGUCCCCAGGAGAGACAGCCAGGAUCUUCACAGUCAGUGUAACUCUGGCUCCCUACUGGGACCCUCUGAAUCUUUUGGUUGCCUAAAGACCACCAGGACCCAGAAACCCAAGAAUACCUUUU
rnacentral:lncRNA from 1 species